UUCAACCAAAAUACAAUUACAUUCAACCAAGUCUUACAAUUCAAGCAAAAUACCAACAAUCCAAAAUGUUAUAACAUUCAAGCAAAAUACAAGUCAUUACAAUUCAAAACAUCCUAAUUAAUGUGAAUCCAUUGUAACUAGCUAGCUCCUAAACCUCAUCAUCGGAAACAACAUAAUCUACCUCGGGAUUGUACAGGUCAAGAAAACAACCCAAUUGUUUCGCAAUUCAUACAUCUCAUCCUCGGUUAAUGAUGUGGGAUCAUCGAACACCUACAAUACAUAUACAUGAUCAAGAAUGAAGCAUAUGAGAAGUGAGAAGGCUAGGAUUAAAAUGAUGCCAUUAUAAUUCCAAAUACAAAACACAGCUAGGAAACUACAACAGCUAAUGCAGCUAGGAAACAGGGAAGGAAGUGUUCCAAGAAGACAAUUGUGAGAAAUGUCAAGAAUUUCUAAUUGUG
rnacentral:lncRNA from 1 species